CUACGGGUUGCACCAGUGAGGAAUAUUGCACAAUGGGGGGAGCCCUGAUGCAGCAACGCCGCGUGGAGGAUGACGCAUUUCGGUGUGUAAACUCCUUUUAUAUGUCAAGAAAAUGACGGUAGCAUAUGAAUAAGCACCGGCUAACUCCGUGCCAGCAGCCGCGGUAAUACGGAGGGUGCAAGCGUUACUCGGAAUCACUGGGCGUAAAGGACGCGUAGGCGGGUUGGAAAGUCAGGUGUGAAAUACUACAGCUUAACUGUAGAACUGCACUUGAAACUUCUAAUCUAGAGUAUGGGAGGGGGAGAUGGAAUUAGUGGUGUAGGGGUAAAAUCCGUAGAUAUCACUAGGAAUACCUAAAGCGAAGGCGAUCUCCUGGAACAUUACUGACGCUAAGGCGUGAAAGCGUGGGGAGCAAACAGGAUUAGAUACCCUAGUAGUC
rnacentral:rRNA from 1 species